rnacentral:tRNA from 1 species
UGGAGAGGUGGCCGAGCGGUUGAAGGCACUUGUCUUGAAAACAAGCGACGUGCAAACGUCCGCAGGUUCGAAUCCUGUCCUCUCCGUC